AUUAUAUGACAGAUAUUGAAUAAAUAGACAUAUAUGCAUUGUAAUUCGCAAAGAUCUGGCAAGACCACAGGCUAAAAUGCCCACAGAUUCACUUAGAACCACUGCAAACUUGGCAGUGAAAUUAAAAAAUAAAAGGCAAGACUUAGCAUUGAAAAAUACCUAAUAAAUUUUUGGUUGAAGUGUAAAAGAUACCAAAUGCGGAUGCCAUCGAGCAGCAACCAUGGACUUUCUGAUUAAAGCUGCAGCAUACUACAGAAA
rnacentral:lncRNA from 1 species